rnacentral:tRNA from 1 species
GCCUUCGUAGCUCAGUUGGAUAGAGUAACCGCCUCCUAAGCGGUAGGUCGUGUGUUCAAAUCGCACCGGGGGCA